rnacentral:rRNA from 1 species
UACGAAGGGGGCUAGCGUUGUUCGGAAUUACUGGGCGUAAAGGGCGUGUAGGCGGCCCGUUAAGACAGGUGUGAAAUUCCUGGGCUCAACCCAGGACGCGCGCCUGUGACUGGCGGGCUUGAGUCCGGGAGAGGAUGGUGGAACUCCCAGUGUAGAGGUGAAAUUCGUAGAUAUUGGGAAGAACACCCGUGGCGAAGGCGGCCAUCUGGACCGGUACUGACGCUAAGGCGCGACAGCGUGGGGAGCAAACAGG